rnacentral:rRNA from 1 species
UCAAAAACAUGUCUUUACGUUAGAAUUGUAAGGUCUGGCCUGCCCACUGAUUUUUAAAGGGCCGCGGUAUACUAACCGUGCGAAGGUAGCAUAAUCAAUAGUCUCUUAAUUGGAGGCUUGGAUGAACGGUCGGACAUGAAGAAAGCUGUGUCAUUUAGUGUGAGCGAAUCUAACUUUUGUGUGAGAAGGCACAGAUAGGUUGAAGGGACGAUAAGACCCUAUAAAACUUUAUGGGUGAAUUUGGCCUUGUGAGGUUUGGGUGAAAUCGGGCUAGAGGGGCCCAUUUGGCUGGGGCGGCUGGAAUAAAACUGUAACUGUUCUUGUUGUGAAAUAAUUAUAAUUAGAUUUUGAUCCCGAAUUUUGGUUUAGAAGAUUAAGUUACUUUAGGGAUAACAGCGUUAUCUCUCUUGAGAGUCCAUAUCGACAGAGACGUUUGCGACCUCGAUGUUGAAUUAAAACUUUCCCUGGGGGCAGAAGUUCAGGGGGUGGGUCUGUUCGACCUUUAAAGNUUUACAUGAUUUGAGUUUAANCCGGUGUGAGCCAGGUG